ACGGGGGGUGCGAGCGUUGUUCGGAAUUAUUGGGCGUAAAGGGCGUGUAGGCGGCUGAAUAAGUCAGAUGUGAAAUCCCUGGGCUUAACCCAGGACGUGCAUUUGAAACUAUUCGGCUAGAGUAGGGGAGAGGAAAGUGGAAUUCCUGGUGGAGAGGUGAAAGGCGUAGAUAUCAGGAGGAACACCGGGGGCGAAGGCGACUUUCUGGCCAGAGACUGACGCUGAGACGCGAGAGCGUGGGGAGCAAACAG
rnacentral:rRNA from 1 species